ACGGGAGGCAGCAGUGAGGAAUAUUGGUCAAUGGGCGAGAGCCUGAACCAGCCAAGUAGCGUGAGGGAUGACUGCCCUACGGGUUGUAAACCUCUUUUGUUUGGGAAUAACAGGGGCUACGCGUAGCCCUGUGCAUGUACCUUUCGAAUAAGCAUCGGCUAAUUCCGUGCCAGCAGCCGCGGUAAUACGGAAGAUGCGAGCGUUAUCCGGAUUUAUUGGGUUUAAAGGGAGCGUAGGCGGCCUUUUAAGUCUGCGGUCAAAUGUCAGGGCCCAACCUUGGCAUGCCGUGGAUACUGAUGGGCUUGAAUACACGCAAGGCAAGUGGAAUUCGUCGUGUAGCGGUGAAAUGCUUAGAUAUGACGAAGAACUCCGAUUGCGAAGGCAGCCAUCUGGCGUGUUACUGACGCUCAUGCUCGAAGGCGCGGGUAUCAAACAGGAUUAGAUACCCUGGUA
rnacentral:rRNA from 1 species